rnacentral:rRNA from 1 species
GAGCAAUCUGUGUGACUGCGUACCUUUUGUAUAAUGGGUCAGCGACUUAUAUUCUGUAGCAAGGUUAACCGAAUAGGGGAGCCGAAGGGAAACCGAGUCUUAACUGGGCGUUAAGUUGCAGGGUAUAGACCCGAAACCCGGUGAUCUAGCCAUGGGCAGGUUGAAGGUUGGGUAACACUAACUGGAGGACCGAACCGACUAAUGUUGAAAAAUUAGCGGAUGACUUGUGGCUGGGGGUGAAAGGCCAAUCAAACCGGGAGAUAGCUGGUUCUCCCCGAAAGCUAUUUAGGUAGCGCCUCGUGAAUUCAUCUCCGGGGGUAGAGCACUGUUUCGGCAAGGGGGUCAUCCCGACUUACCAACCCGAUGCAAACUGCGAAUACCGGAGAAUGUUAUCACGGGAGACACACGGCGGGUGCUAACGUCCGUCGUGAAGAGGGAAACAACCCAGACCGCCAGCUAAGGUCCCAAAGUCAUGGUUAAGUGGGAAACGAUGUGGGAAGGCCCAGACAGCCAGGAUGUUGGCUUAGAAGCAGCCAUCAUUUAAAGAAAGCGUAAUAGCUCACUGGUCGAGUCGGCCUGCGCGGAAGAUGUAACGGGGCUAAACCAUGCACCGAAGCUGCGGCAGCGACGCUGAUGCGUUGUUGGGUAGGGGAGCGUUCUGUAAGCCUGUGAAGGUGUGCUGUGAGGCAUGCUGGAGGUAUCAGAAGUGCGAAUGCUGACAUAAGUAACGAUAAAGCGGGUGAAAAGCCCGCUCGCCGGAAGACCAAGGGUUCCUGUCCAACGUUAAUCGGGGCAGGGUGAGUCGACCCCUAAGGCGAGGCCGAAAGGCGUAGUCGAUGGGAAACAGGUUAAUAUUCCUGUACUUGGUGUUACUG